rnacentral:rRNA from 1 species
GGCGAACGGGUGAGUAAUGCAUCGGAACGUGCCCAGUAGUGGGGGAUAGCCCGGCGAAAGCCGGAUUAAUACCGCAUACGACCUAUGGGUGAAAGCGGGGGACCGCAAGGCCUCGCGCUAUUGGAGCGGCCGAUGUCAGAUUAGGUAGUUGGUGGGGUAAAGGCCCACCAAGCCUACGAUCUGUAGCUGGUCUGAGAGGACGACCAGCCACACUGGGACUGAGACACGGCCCAGACUCCUACGGGAGGCAGCAGUGGGGAAUUUUGGACAAUGGGCGCAAGCCUGAUCCAGCCAUGCCGCGUGCGGGAAGAAGGCCUUCGGGUUGUAAACCGCUUUUGUCAGGGAAGAAACGCCAUGGGUUAAUACCUCGUGGUAAUGACGGUACCUGAAGAAUAAGCACCGGCUAACUACGUGCCAGCAGCCGCGGUAAUACGUAGGGUGCAAGCGUUAAUCGGAAUUACUGGGCGUAAAGCGUGCGCAGGCGGUUUUGUAAGACAGAGGUGAAAUCCCCGGGCUUA